rnacentral:tRNA from 1 species
GCGUGCGUAGCUCAGUUGGAUAGAGUGUUUGGCUACGAACCAAAAGGUCGGGGGUUCGAAUCCCUCCGCGCGUA